UACGUAGGGGGCAAGCGUUGUCCGGAAUUAUUGGGCGUAAAGAGCUUGUAGGCGGUUUGUCGCGUCUGCUGUGAAAUUUCGGGGCUCAACCCCGAACUUGCAGUGGGUACGGGCAGACUAGAGUGUGGUAGGGGAGACUGGAAUUCCUGGUGUAGCGGUGAAAUGCGCAGAUAUCAGGAGGAACACCGAUGGCGAAAGCAGGUCUCUGGGCCAUAACUGACGCUGAGAAGCGAAAGCAUGGGGAGCGAACAGG
rnacentral:rRNA from 1 species